rnacentral:rRNA from 1 species
CCUACGGGAGGCAGCAGUAGGGAAUAUUGCUCAAUGGGGGAAACCCUGAAGCAGCAACGCCGCGUGGAGGAUGAAGGUUUUCGGAUUGUAAACUCCUUUUGUUAGAGAAGAUAAUGACGGUAUCUAACGAAUAAGCACCGGCUAACCCCGUGCCAGCAGCCGCGGGAAUACGGAGGGUGCAAGCGUUACUCGGAUUCACUGGGAGUAAAGAGCGCGUAGGCGGGAUAGCAAGUCAGAUGUGAAAUCCUAUGGCUUAACCAUAGAACUGCAUUUGAAACUGUUAUUCUAGAGUAUGGGAGAGGUAGGUGGAAUUCUUGGUGUAGGGGUAAAAUCCGUAGAGAUCAAGAGGAAUACUCAUUGCGAAGGCGACCUGCUAGAACAUAACUGACGCUGAUGCGCGAAAGCGUGGGGAGCAAACAGGAUUAGAUACCCUAGUAGUC